UACGUAGGGUGCAAGCGUUGUCCGGAAUUAUUGGGCGUAAAGAGCUCGUAGGCGGUCAGUCGCGUCUGCUGUGAAAACUCGGGGCUUAACCCCGGUUCUGCAUUCGAUACGGGCUGGCUAGAGUGUGGUAGGGGAGAUCGGAAUUCCUGGUGUAGCGGUGAAAUGCGCAGAUAUCAGGAGGAACACCGGUGGCGAAGGCGGAUCUCUGGGCCAUUACUGACGCUGAGGAGCGAAAGCGUGGGGAGCAAACAGG
rnacentral:rRNA from 1 species